rnacentral:rRNA from 1 species
GAUGAACGCUAGCUACAGGCUUAACACAUGCAAGUCGAGGGGUAACGAGAGGAGAGCUUGCUUUCCUUGUUGACGACCGGCGCACGGGUGAGUAACGCGUAUCCAACCUGCCCCCAACUAGGGAAUAACCUUGCGAAAGUAAGACUAAUACCCUAUAAUUUCCUCAGAUGUCAUCUGACGAGGAAUAAAGAUUUAUCGGUUGUGGAUGGGGAUGCGUCUGAUUAGCUUGUUGGCGGGGUAACGGCCCACCAAGGCAACGAUCAGUAGGGGUUCUGGGAGGAAGGGCCCCCACAUUGGAACUGAGACACGGUCCAAACUCCUACGGGAGGCAGCAGUGAGGAAUAUUGGUCAAUGGGCGGAAGCCUGAACCAGCCAAGUAGCGUGCAGGAUGACGGCCCUGUGGGUUGUAAACUGCUUUUAUACAGGAAUAAAGUUAGCCACGUGUGGUUAUUUGUAGGUACUGUAUGAAUAAGGACCGGCUAAUUCCGUGCCAGCCGCCGCCGUAA